rnacentral:rRNA from 1 species
CUGACCUGCCCAGUGAUUAAUUUAACGGCCGCGGUAUAUUGACCGUGCAAAGGUAGCAUAAUCAUUAGUCUUUUAAUAGAGGGCUGGAAUGAAAGGUUUAACGAGGAACUGACUGUCUCAUUUUAUUUGUUUUAAAAUUUAAUUUUUUAGUUAAAAAGCUAAAAUUUUAUUGGAAGACGAGAAGACCCUAUAGAUCUUUAUAGAAAAAUAUACAAUUAUUAUUAUAUUAAUAUAAUUAUAUAUUUUUCUAUUCUGUUGGGGUGACAAAAAUACAUAUAUAACUUUUUUAUUUAUUUAACAUUGAUUUAUGAAUAUAUGAUCCAUUAUUAUUGAUUAUUAGAUUAAGUUACCUUAGGGAUAACAGCGUAAUCCUCCUCCAGAGUUCAUAUUUACAGGAUGGGCUUGCGACCUCGAUGUUGGAUUAAGAUAAUAAUUAGGUGUAGCCGGUUAAUUUAUAGGUCUGUUCGACCUUUAA